GACGAACGCUGGCGGCGUGCUUAACACAUGCAAGUCGAACGGAAAGGCCCUGCUUUUGUGGGGUGCUCGAGUGGCGAACGGGUGAGUAACACGUGAGUAACCUGCCCUUGACUUUGGGAUAACUUCAGGAAACUGUGGCUAAUACCGGAUAGGAGCUCCUGCUGCAUGUUGGGGGUUGGAAAGUUUCGGCGGUUGGGGAUGGACUCGCGGCUUAUCAGCUUGUUGGUGGGGUAGUGGCUUACCAAGGCUUUGACGGGUAGCCGGCCUGAGAGGGUGACCGGCCACAUUGGGAAUGAGAUACGGCCCAGACUCCUACGGGAGGCAGCAGUGGGGAAUAUUGCACAAUGGGCGGAAGCCUGAUGCAGCAACGCCGCGUGCGGGAUGACGGCCUUCGGGUUGUAAACCGCUUUCGCCUGUGACGAAGCGUGAGUGACGGUAAUGGGUAAAGAAGCACCGGCUAACUACGUG
rnacentral:rRNA from 1 species